UGGAAAAGUGUAGAAGUUGGAGUCAGAAAAUAAACUUCCUCUUUUACCUUGCAAAGUGGCAGGUAGCUCGCGUUGUGCUUUCUCGUGUCCUAUAGCGACAGGGUGGAGAGGAUGGCUCACAUGGGCCCAUGUUUGAUUUAAGGUGUUAGCCUUUCCUUACUGAAUGAGAAUAAAUAUUUUUUUCCCUCUGGGUUUUAAGAGGGACCAAAGGGAGAGUUACUUCCAAAAAUAGUCUGUGCUUGUGCAACCUUUAAAAAUGAAAAAUAGAUCUUUUAAGAGUAAUGGUUAACAAUGUGCUCUCAUUACUCAUUUCUAAAUUGCUUUUCUUGGCACAAACAUUUCUAUGCUGGACCCCUGUUCCAUAGUUGGAGAGAAUCCAACCUUUUAACUCUGAUCAAACUCAUAUAACUCUUCACAAUUAUUCUAUCUUUGAUGGUAACAAGAAACUCCCAAAGUAUGCUAAAAAAAAAAUCUCCAAACACACACUUUUGUAGCCCUAAACUGCACACAAUAUUCAGGGAGUAGCAUGUAAAAGUGUUAAAAAGCAGAUCUCAGCCCCUCAGCUAAAGAUCAUAUUCCUGAAUGUUUUUCACAUGAUUCAUUAGCUCCUAAUAUCAAGUGUCAUCCCUCUGGGUGAAGGACUUGGUAAGGCACUAUUUAAUUUUUCCUCAAUAAAAGUCAGCUGUGUAUUUAUCUUACAGAAGAAUGAGGACCCAGCCCUGUUUCCUGACACAAGAGGGAAGCAGAGAUGUCUGUAGGGUGUAAAUACUCUGCCAAGCAUGGGGGGUGGCAAGAAGCACAGGUAAGAGAAGCAGGGGUUCUUAACUGCAGUGACGUUUAUUGUAUCAUGACAAAAAAGAAGGUAUUAAAUUCACCUUUUAAUGCUAUGUGGUUGACAUGGAAGCUAAGGUAGACUUGUGAUCAAUUUUCUUUCCUUUUUUUUUUUUGGUUUGACCACAAAACCAGACAAUCCAUUCUUCACCCAGCUCUACUAAUGAGCUUCUUUUUCUGAGGUUUUGUACCCUGCAUAAUGAAGAACAUCUGUACCUUGAGUAAAGCUUGACAUUUCCCUGCCUAUUCACCAAAGGCCUUUUUCUCUUCUUUCAAUGCAGCACUAUAAACUCAGUGCCUGGGAAAGAAACCUGGUGGAGUCUCCUGGACAUUCUAUUCUGAUCACCUUCCAUCAAUAUUUCAGCAUAAUUACCCAAUUCAUAUGUGUUUCUACAGCAGUGGAUAGAAAGGGAAGCUGAAGAUGUUUUCUUCAUUACCUGUCUGAUCUCAAGAGCUCCAUGUGCAUUCCAGGAUUCUGCAGUGUAAUCAGGGCUGAUCCCAAGAACUCAGCUGGAUUCUCCACGAGAACCAUCCACUGUCAUAGGGUUGUUUUUAUUGCUGGUCUGAAGUUGAUAAAUGUUUUCUUACAGGAUCACCCAGAAAGUGAUUUUUAAAAAUGAGAUUUUUAUGUGAUAGAUUCAUACCUUGUAGGGAAACUCCAUGAAGUGGCUUGGAUACACCAGCAAAACAGCCUAUGAAAAUGUAGUCCUGUGCCAGUAAUACAAGGUGUGGAAUUUGUGGUAAAUUUUCACUUUGACUGUUGCUGUAGGAAUAUGCUGAGAUACUUCAGACAAAUCAGAGGUUAAGAAGCCAUACAGACUUUUAAUCAUAUACAAAUAUAGGUAACAAAAAUUUUUACCCCAACCAUAUCAAAUGUUGGUAGAUUUUGAAAGAAAUUUGCAUAUAUUUGGGCCCUUUUGGCUGCUCUAUUUUAACUCAGGAAUAAAUAAGAGAAUUCAGAAUCAGGUUAUUUUACAAAUAUAUUAAGUGAUGGAAAAUGGUUUUAAACACAGCACAUUGCAGAUGCCUUGAGUAGUUAGAUCUUAUAGAGCUUCUAGGCUGUAUUAUGCAGCAGGGAUCCAAAUUUUAUCCUGUGGCCUGUAAGGACAAUAUUAGAAAAAAGUACCUUUUAUGAAUCCUCAAGAAAAGUCCUUGAACAGAAUGGCCUUCACAUGGGUGCAUAAGCUGUCAAAAAUACUAUAACAAUUAAAUAAUGGUAAUUGCAGAUUUAUUGCAUUAUUUAAGAAAAUCUUGCAUGUUUAAUGGGUAAGGAAUAGGAAUUAUCCUCCAAGUAGCAAUAUAUUUAAAUAUUUAAACAAAAUGAGAGAAACUGCUAUUUAUGACAUGAAGGCAAACCUCUAUUGUGAAGUUCUGAACAGCCAAAAGCAAACAGAAUGUUUUAUUUUGUUUUCAAAUGCCAGGUGUUAAAUUGGAGCAUUUGUAUGUGCUCUGGCCACACUCUGCUGUUCCCCUGGGGUGUGCUGCCCUUCCCAUGGGAGAGGAGGGAAUGCUGUGGCAGAAAGGAGCUCCUGGCUCCCUCCCAGAGCUUCAGGAGCUCCCUGUGAAUGGCAGAGCCUGUCUGAGCCUGCUGGAGACAAGGCUUAGCAAAGCCUCACCCAGCAGAGUCUGAUCUAGUCCCAGGCUGGUUUCUUCUAUGGGAAUGUUCCAAAUGACAUCUAAUAUUUAACCAUAACUGAGACAUUUAGAGGCGAACAUGUCUAGACUAACUGAUGUUUUAAACCAUUUUUCUAGGAGUGUAUCACUGUGAACUGCAUGUAGUUAAAUAAUUACAUCAGAUUUUUCUGUUUCAUUCAGCAUUCUUAACCCAUAGGUAAAACUCUUGGCCACCGAUUAUUUCAGUUAGACUCUGUAAAGGAUGAUGGUUGUUUUUCACAGGAGCUCACAUAAUCCCAAAUUCCCUCUUAAACUUCAGAACAGAGAGGAUCCCUACUGCUCAUACUGGAAAGCGUUACCAUGCAGUAAUAUUUUCUAAUUAAAGUACAGAAACAGGAGGUGAAAUCCAGCAACUCAAACUGAAGUAAUAUGCCAAAAUAUGAUACAAUGUAGGCCAAAACAUAAUAUAUAUUCCUGUACAUAAUGACAGUACUCACUAAACAUUUUUAGCAUACAAGUAGAAAAUAAAUUAACAGAGAAAACUUGUGUUUCAGGAAAGAGUGAGUUCAAGGCAGGAGAGGGAUAGUUUUAACUCACCACCCUCUAAGAGGGAGGGGUUACUAAGCAAAAGUGUGUGUUGAUAACCCAAAACAUGGCCGUGUUCUUUUGUAUGUGAUUACGGGAUCAGGAAUUCACAAACGUAUCGCUUGGCAGUGCGGCACACUUCAUCCACCCACUUGCCCUGGGCUGACUGCGACAGGAGGACACAGUUUUCCCUCUUGCCCCCGUUGGGCUGGGCACGGUCCCAGUUGGAGUACUGCAGAGCCAUGCCAUUGACAUCCACAAACCUCCCUUCAUGGACCAUGUCAGUGACACCCAGCCAAAACUCGGCCGCGCUGGCCGCGCUUUUCUUGCCGUAAUCGCGAAGGACGUUCGUUUCCUCGCUGUUCCUCGGGAUCGCCAACGUCCCCCCUUUGGCUAUGCAGUCCUCGUUGGCUUCAUGGAAAUGCUUGGUGCCUUCUGACAUGAGGUAGCACUUCUUGUGGGCCUUGGUCCCACGAAGACACACUGUGAACAGACAGGAGUUCGCACCUUCAGUACAAGUGUGGGCCUCAGCUUUCAGUAAUGGCUCUCCAAAUGAUAAUUUAACAAAAGCACCUUGAAACUUGAGCAGGCACAUCCUUCAGCAAGUGAAAGGCUCUUGACUCCACAGAGCGGGCCUGAAAUUUGGAGCAAGAUCAGACUUACCUGCUGGUGGUCCAUGUAGGACCCUGUGUGCAGCCAGCAUGUCAGUGUGCCUUUGGAAACAGACUGCUGAAAUAUAACCCAGGCCUGUUCUCAGUGCCCCUUUUACCAAAUAGUACUGCUUUCAGCAGUCCUGAAACAGAUGGAAUGGAUGUGGUUUGUUUUGUUGGUUAUUGGGAAUCUGUAUUUGGCUUUAUAGUGGAGACAUCUAAAUGUCUUUUAAUACUGGUGAUAUUUAAGUAAAGAAAAUUUUUGCAUCUAAUCUAAGCUCAGUUUCUAGCAAGCAAAGGCAGGACAGAAAUGUGCUGUAUUAAAUGUGUCCUGCUCACCAGGAAAAUACUGAUUUGAAAUUUGUAAUACAAAUCUAUGAGUGAUUACUAAAAUCUGUAGAGGAUUGCCUAUUCACCUCCCUUGGCAUUAAUUUAUUUUCUUUCCAGAAAAGUCUCCCCCUUCAAACUCUAAAUCCAAAUAAGGUAAAGUGACUUAAAUCUAUAAGUGCUUUUAAAAAGUGCACACUUAUUACUGAGCUUACAGGACAACCUGGACCAAAUCUUCUAACCAUUUUAAUUUAAAAAUCUGUUUCCUUUUACUUCUGCUGGGGAAGUCUUGAUGUAAAGUCUGAAUGGACUAAUUUGGCAGCUGCUCUGUCACUGGAAUUGCCUUGCAGAGCUGCUGCUGGGUUGUUCCAGCCUGAGGUCUGUGGGGGCAGGAACACAGGAGGGAAUCCUUAAACUUUGCCUUCCAGCUCUCCCAAUGCAGAUUUGUGAAAAACUGAUUCUCCCAAGAAAAAUAACGAUGGCAAGGUGAACCCUCCUUGGUGGAGUGUUUCUUCUGAGCUGAGGAAGGUACCAAAGGCCUGGAAUAGACUCCUGUAACAAUUAUUUUUAGAAUCCUGCAUGUUAUUACUUGCAGAUUAUUCCAUUUAUUCCUUAAAAUCAUCUUGUACUUAUGUACAUCUUCUGUCCUGAUAUUUUCUAUAAUCUGUUUUUAAUCCCUCAUCUGUUCUUGUAAAAAAAUAAUUAUGUCUCUGAUCAAUAGGAUAUCAAAGUCACUUUGGACCACAUCCUAUGUCUCAAGUUUUUAGUAUUUCCAGUUGUCGUAUUCACUGCAUUCCUUAGCUGCAUUUUCAGAGUCAUAAUUUUCUAUUAGGGUUUACUCUUCAAAUUUUAAUCCUUCCAAUGGCCAAAGUAAUGAACCUGUUUAUUAAAUGUGGAACUCUUUAACAAAUUCAUAUUCAUGGGAAGGAUCAGAGAGACUUCAGCAGUGCUGCAGCAAUGGUAAGGACUGGAUGUAUUUAGGGAAGAAGUAUGUGCUGCAAAAUGGUGUGUGGCAGCAUUUCCCAUUUCACUCUGUGUAGAGAGGAGGCCCAGGAAGUUCAA